CCAGACUCCUACGGGAGGCAGCAGUGAGGAAUAUUGGUCAAUGGGCUUACGCCUGAACCAGCCAAGUCGCGUGAGGGAAGACUGCCCUAUGGGUUGUAAACCUCUUUUGUCAGGGAGCAACGCCGGCUACGUGUAGCCGGACUGAGAGUACCUGAAGAAAAAGCAUCGGCUAACUCCGUGCCAGCAGCCGCGGUAAUACGGAGGAUGCGAGCGUUAUCCGGAUUUAUUGGGUUUAAAGGGUGCGUAGGCGGAAGUCGAGGCAGGAGAUAAAGGCGCGGGGCCCACCCCCCCCCCGCCGUUGAAACUGGCGUUCUUGAGUGGGCGAGAAGUAUGCGGAAUGCGUGGUGUAGCGGUGAAAUGCAUAGAUAUCACGCAGAACUCCGAUUGCGAAGGCAGCGUACCGGCGCCCAACUGACGCUGAAGCACGAAGGCGUGGGUAUCGAACAGGAUUAGAUACCCCGGUACCG
rnacentral:rRNA from 1 species